rnacentral:rRNA from 1 species
UAAGGAAUAUUGGUCAAUGGAGGCAACUCUGAACCAGCCAUGCCGCGUGCAGGAAGAAGGCCCUAUGGGUCGUAAACUGCUUUUGAACAAGAGAAAACCCCGGUACGUGUACUGGGUUGAUAGUAUUGUUAGAAUAAGCAUCGGCUAACUUCGUGCCAGCAGCCGCGGUAAGACGAAGGAUGCAAGCGUUAUCCGGAUUCAUUGGGUUUAAAGGUGCGUAGGCGGACUGAUAAGUCAGUGGUGAAAUCUCUCGGCUUAACCGAGAAACUGCCAUUGAUACUGUUAGUCUAGAGUACAGAUGAUGUGGGCGGAAUAUGACAUGUAGUGGUGAAAUACUUAGAUAUGUCAUAGAACACCGAUUGCGAAGGCAGCUCACAAAACUGUAACUGACGCUGAGGCACGAAAGUGCGGGGAUCAAACAGGAUUAGAUACCCCCGUAGUCCCUGAGCGGGCUGGCAAGGCGCAU